rnacentral:rRNA from 1 species
GUAGGUGGCAAGCGUUGUCCGGAAUUAUUGGGCGUAAAGCGCGCGCAGGCGGUCCUUUAAGUCUGAUGUGAAAGCCCACGGCUCAACCGUGGAGGGUCAUUGGAAACUGGGGGACUUGAGUACAGAAGAGGAAAGCGGAAUUCCAAGUGUAGCGGUGAAAUGCGUAGAGAUUUGGAGGAACACCAGUGGCGAAGGCGGCUUUCUGGUCUGUAACUGACGCUGAGGCGCGAAAGCGUGGGGAGCAAACAGGAUUAGAUACCCUGGUAGUCCACGCCGUAAACGAUGAGUGCUAAGUGUUAGGGGGUUUCCCGCCCCCUUAGUGCUGCAGCUAACGCAUUAAGCACUCCGCCUGGGAAGUACGGCCGCAAGGCUG